CCCAGAGUCGUCACAUGGUCCAGGCC
rnacentral:sRNA from 1 species